GGGGGGGGGGGGGGGGGGGGGGGGGGGGGGGGGGGGGGGGGGGGGGGGGGGGGGGGGGGGGGGGGGGGGGGGGGGGGGGGGGGGGGGGGGGGACAGGCUGGACACAGGGGAUCCAUGGGGCAGGGACAGGCUGGACACAGGGGAUCCAUAGGACAGGGACAGGGUGAACACACAGGACUCACCAGACACAGACCAGGUGGAUGCAAGGAACUCACUGGGCACAGUGGGGAUGUACACACAGGAUCCCCCCCGGGCAAGGACAGGCUGGUCACACAGGACCCACCAGACAUGGUGGGCACGUGGGAUCCGCUGGACAUGGUGGGCGUGGGCACACGGAAUCCACUGGGCAGGGUGGAGUUGGGCAGAGAGAACCCACGAGACGCAGACGGGGUGAACACAUGGAAUCCAUGGGGUAUGACGGCAGUGGGCACACGGGACCCACCAGUCAUGGGCUGGGUGGACAUACAGGACGCACUGGGCAGACAGGGCGGACACAUGAGACCCAUCAGGCACAGCAGGGAUGGGGACAUGGUGGUGGUGGGUGAACGGGACCCACUGGAUGUGGACAGGGUGGACACAUGGAACCCACUGGGCGUGGGCAGGAUGGGCUAAUGGCUCCCACUCCCUGGGCUGGCAGGUGAGAGCAGUUACUGGGACCCCCCUCCUGUCCCCUCAGCCCUCUGUGGGUGUCUGCAGGAGGAAAACUGCACCUCGAGCCUCCACUUCGGGGGCAUGGAGAGACUCAGGGGAAAACCCCCAGAGCUGAGUGGGGCAGGGGAUUAGGGCUGGAGCAGAGGGCAGCAGGGCUCAGCAUCACUGCACAGGGGGAUCCAUUCCCGUGGUGAGGCCUUUUGGGGAGGACGUAUGUGCCCAGAGCUGCUGCCUGCAUCCUGCCUGCUCCUGCCUGCACGUGGCCUGGCUUGCCAAGGCUGUGGCCACUGCAGGGGGAGCAGAGUGCUGCUGGGUCCCGUUCCACCCGCACUGCAACCCAGACCAUCCAUCCUCGCGUCACUGCAGUACAGAGAGACCCCCACGUCUGCUCCCCUUCUUGGCACCACCUCAGAACCCUCUGGUGUGGCUGGGGUGCCACUCUGGCUUCACACGAGGCUGGCCAGGAGCCAAGUGUGGGGGCCACGACCAGGGUCUCCCCAGGAACUGGGACCCUCACGGGAAUCAGCACCCUCCUGAGAGACUGGGGCUCUCCCAGGGAUCAGGACUCUCUGCAGAGCAGGGCUGCAGCAGCUUUUGAUGCCCAUCGGUGCCAGGAGCACGUGUCACCUGCGCCCAGGCACGGGCGGCGCCCGUUACCUCUGGGGUGGGGCAUUGGCACCCGGCGCAGCACCCGGCAUCACCCGUGUCCUGAAUGGGAUGGGGGUUUGUGCUGCUGGGGGGGCCCUGGGACUUGGAGGGAGCUCACUGGGAGGUACUGGGAUGUCGUGGGGCCCUGGGCUGUACCUGCGUAAGCGUUUCGGGGGGGGUCACCGGUGUUUAUUUGAGUGUAGGGCGAGGCGAUGACCGGCCGGUAAUGAUUAACUCUGGGCUGAGCCAGAGGAUGAGGCCCCCCCUGCACGAGGGGCUGGGGUACUCCGUGUCCCCUUUGUGCCCCCCCUGUGCCCCCCACCAGGUUCUGGAGCCCGUGGCUCAGCCCAGGGAGCCAGGCAGAUGCUGCUCCCGC
rnacentral:lncRNA from 1 species